rnacentral:rRNA from 1 species
UACAGAGGGGGCAAGCGUUGUUCGGAAUUAUUGGGCGUAAAGGGCGCGUAGGCGGUGCGGUAAGUCACCUGUGAAAUCUCUGGGCUCAACUCAGAGUCUGCAGGCGAAACUGCCGUGCUUGAGUGUGGGAGAGGUGAGUGGAAUUCCCGGUGUAGCGGUGAAAUGCGCAGAUAUCGGGAGGAACACCGGUGGCGAAGGCGGUUCUCUGGGCCUGACCUGACGCUGAGGAGCGAAAGCGUGGGGAGCGAACAGG